UACGGAGGGUGCAAGCGUUAUACGGCCUCACUGGGUUUAAAAGGUGCGUCGGCGGGCUGAUAAGUCAGGGGUGAAAGCUCACGGCUCAACCGCGGAAUUGCCUUUGAUACUGUUAGUCUUGAAACGGGUUGAGGUUGGCGGAAUAUGGCAUGUAGCGGUGAAAUGCAUAGAUAUGCCAUAGAACACCGAUUGCGAAGGCAGCUGACUGGACCCGAUUUGACGCUGAGGCACGAAAGCGUGGGGAGCGAACAGG
rnacentral:rRNA from 1 species